rnacentral:rRNA from 1 species
CCUACGGGUGGCAGCAGUGGGGGAUAGUGCACAAUGGGGGAAACCCUGAUGCAGCGACGCCGCGUGUAGGAAGACGGUCCUCUGGAUUGUAAACUACUGUCCCCAGGGACGAAGAUGACGGGACCGGGGGAGGAAGCGCCGGCUAACUAGGUGCCAGCAGCCGCGGGAAUACGGCGGGAGCGAGGGUUGUCCGGAAGUACGGGGGGUAACGGGAGCGGAGGCGGGGAGGCAAGGUGGGUGGUAAAUCAACCGGCUCCACUGGUGGUCGCACUCAAAACUGCAGCUCUUGAGUGCAGUAGCGGCAGGCGGCAUUCCUCUUGUAGCGGUUACAUGCGUCGAUAUUAGGCG